CCGGCACGGGUGAGUAACACGUAUCCAACCUGCCGUCUACUCUUGGCCAGCCUUCUGAAAGGAAGAUUAAUCCAGGAUGGCAUCAUGAGUUCACAUGUCCGCAUGAUUAAAGGUAUUUUCCGGUAGACGAUGGGGAUGCGUUCCAUUGGAUAGUAGGCGGGGUAACGGCCCACCUAGUCAACGAUGGAUAGGGGUUCUGAGAGGAAGGUCCCCCACAUUGGAACUGAGACACGGUCCAA
rnacentral:rRNA from 1 species